rnacentral:lncRNA from 1 species
UCCGUUGUUCGAUUCUUUGCUACUAUAUAGAUAGAUAUCUAUAGCAGAUGAACAUGCUCCUCACGUUGUUUGCUUUUCUGCUUAUGCUUGGUUUGGAUGAUGAUGCCAUCCUCCUUGGAUUAUUUCCUUGAAUCUGUUAAAGAAAGAAAAGAUGCAAGUCGUGAAAUGCUUUCCAAUCAAAUAGGAAUAGGAGUUCUAUCAAUCAAAAUCAAAGGGGGUCACUUCGCUUCCUAUAUGUAUAAGAUAGGUGCGAUUAGGCGCCUGCCUGCAUGUUGCCUUUAGUUUUUAUCAAAGGCUAUCCCCUAUAUGAAAUUCUCCGCUUUAUUCAUUUUCAAUCCUGUUAAUCAUUUUAUUUGUAUUUUUCUUACAUAUGAG